GACGAACGCUGGCGGCGUGCUUAACACAUGCAAGUCGAACGGAAAGGCCCUGCUUUUGUGGGGUGCGCGAGUGGCGAACGGGUGAGUAACACGUGAGUAACCGGCCCUAGACUUUGGGAUAACUUCAGGAAACUGGGGCUAAUACCGGAUAGGAGCUCCUGCUGCAUGGUGGGGGUUGGAAAGUUUCGGCGGUUGGGGAUGGACUCGCGGCUUAUCAGCUUGUUGGUGGGGGAGUGGCUUACCAAGGCUUUGACGGGUAGCCGGACCGAGAGGGUGACCAGCCAGAUUGGGUCCGGGCUCCGGCCGGAGGCCCUACGGGAGACAGCUGUGCGGUAUAUUGCACACUGGGCGGAAGCCUGAUGCAGCAACGCCGCGUGCUGGAUGUCGGCCUUCGGUUUGUAGACCGCUUUCGCCUGUGACGAAGCGUGAGUGACGGUAAUGGGUAAAGAAGCACCGGCUAACUACGUG
rnacentral:rRNA from 1 species